UACGAAGGGGGCUAGCGUUGCUCGGAAUCACUGGGCGUAAAGGGCGCGUAGGUGGUCAGGUAAGUCUGAUGUGAAAGCUCUGGGCUCAACCCAGAAAUGGCAUUGGAUACUAUCUGGCUAGAGGAAUGGAGGGGGGACUGGAAUACUUGGUGUAGCAGUGAAAUGCGUAGAUAUCAAGUGGAACACCAGUGGCGAAGGCGAGUCCCUGGACAUUUCCUGACACUGAGGCACGAAAGCUAGGGGAGCAAACAGG
rnacentral:rRNA from 1 species